rnacentral:ribozyme from 14 species
AUUUAUUUUAUUAUUAUAUUUAUUGUUUUUUUUAAUAAGAAGAACAACAUCAUAUUAUCAUUGCCAUUUUUUUUUAAUUCACUUGUCCGUGUAUAGUAAUAAAUUUAGUAGUACGUAACAAUAACGUAAUAAGAAUAGCAGCAAAAAAUAGCUACACCAAUACAAAUCAUGAGC